AAAAAUCUUCAACUCAAAAACACAACAACUUUUAUAUCCCUUAUAUUUCUCAGAAUUUCUCUUACAAUAUCUCUCUCGCUCUCUGUCUCAGAACCUCUCAGACAAAAACACAUUCUCCAUCCCGCCUAUGGCACCCGCAGACGUCACCCCCCAUCGUCCUCCGCCUCCUCUUCCAAUCUGAACUCUUCUCUCUCCCUAUGCUCCUCCUAUGCCCUUAAAACUCACCAAAACGAAAUCGUCAUCCCCAAAAUCGACCGUCCCGUUUUUAAUGAAUCCUCCACGGCUGCGAUUUUAGUUUCUAGAAGUAGGGUUUGAGAUGGGUAUAGCCGUAGAUUGUUUUCAGUAAGCAAUUUAUAGGCUGCAACCUGUUCGAUGUUUUGUCUCAGAGAAUCAGGGGUUUAAAUUGGGGCGUUUUCAGAAUUAGGGUUUUAUUCCGCUUUUAUCUGGGGCUGCUUAAUUCACUUGACUUUAUAAUUAACACUGCAUCCGGAGAUAUUCCUUUCGAUCAGUGCUUAUCUCUUCUCAAGACAGGGGGUGUGCUUUCCUUAGUGGGUUUCCCAAGUGACUAAGUUGUCUAAAGCUAAUAAUAAAGCAAAGGAGGAAACUGUGUUAUUACUGUGAAUUAUUUACGGAUUAUGACAACUUCCCCUCCCCAGUAUAUGGAUAUAUGGCUUAUUUGAA